rfam:Phanerochaete carnosa HHB-10118-sp unplaced genomic scaffold PHACAscaffold_1, whole genome shotgun sequence.
GCUGAUAUGGCCGAGUCGUUAAGGCGAGUGAUUUGAACCUUCGAUUUCAAACAUCACUUGGGCAUUGCCCGCGUAGGUUCAAAUCCUGCUGUCAGCG